AGUAAAGUAAGUAGCCUCUCUGAUGGUCUCCAUUGAUCCGCACCUACUGGUGUGCUUGUGUAAUCUCCUCCCUCUAAGUAUCAGAAACAAGUCUUACAAUUCCAGAGACAAGAAAGUCCACAAUCAAGGUGCUGGCAGAUCCAGUGACAACAGAAACUCUUAUCAACAGAGCAAACAGACAACCUGUAGAAUGGG